CAUGUAAUAAUUUCUCGAGGAGAGAGAUAGAGAGAGAGAGGGGUGGAAAAAUUCUAGAAUGCAACGGGUAUAUUGGUAACGUGACGUAACAAACCAAUUAAAUAUCUCCUUUUAAAAGUAUAUGUCCCAUCAUGAUUAUAAAAAAAUAUUUUUAUUAUACUUUUAUUUGAAAAAAAAAUAUAUAAUUAGCUUAUUAUUAAUAACGUGGUGCAAAUGUGAUAGUGUAGAAUUUCUCGGAGGGGUGAGGGUUCAUGCAAGU
rnacentral:lncRNA from 1 species